GGGCACUUGGCACAGUGGUAGCGCGCAUGCUUCGCACUUCUUAGAACGUUGCAUGAGGUCGUGAGUUCAAUCCUCACAGUGUCCA